rnacentral:lncRNA from 1 species
GUGAGCAUCAAGAGCAAGAGAGAAGAAGGAAACGAGUCAGGAAACGGCAGCGCUACUUAAAAAUAAUGGAAGGUCACGGCCAGUGAGACAACACUUCCGAUUAAGGCCCUCCAGAAGCAGGAGCCCAAAGAACAGGGCAGGGGGGCCAUCAAAAGAAAGCAUGGAUAGAGUCCAGAAUUUGAAGACCAAGAAGCACUGUGUAGACCAAGCUUAUUUAUAACAUCUGGACGUAUAGCAUUAAGCUGUGGCUCAUCUGAGGCAUUCCUUAAAGGGGCUGAGAUAAUAUGAUGCAAGAGCCUUUCUUUCUGAUUGUCUAAUUUCACACAGAAAUAGCAUGUAGAGAAAUAAAUGC